UAGUAAUAUAAAGAUUUAUGAUAACCUUUCUUCUGUAAUUUGACAGUCCACUCAAGUCAUUGUGCCUUUUUUAUUUUAAUACUAGCUAUUAAGCAAUGCACUGGAAAAAAAAACAAUUUCUUUUUCUGGAAUGUUGAUAAGCUCCAUCAUUUACAAAGUAUAGUAUCCUGUAGUGAAUGGAGUGACAGUUUAUAUGUGCAGCAGUCUCAGAAGAUCUCAAAGAGAGGAAAACAAUGUAAUGUACAGAUCUUAUUGUUGUGGUUUUGUUUGAAGUUGGCCAUUUGAUUUGCUUUUCUGAACUGUAUGUUUUUAUACUUUGUAUAUGCUAAGAUUAUGUAGUAUGUGAAAAUAAAUAUGUAUCAUUUUUUUAAUAUA